GAUGAACGCUAGCUAUAGGCUUAACACAUGCAAGUCGAGGGGCAGCGAAUAGAUAGCUUGCUAUUUAUGUCGGCGACCGGCGCACGGGUGAGUAACGCGUAUCCAACCUGCCCAUAACUAAGGGAUAACCCAGCGAAAGUUGGACUAAUACCUUAUGUAUUCGUUUGAUCUCAUGAGAUUACGAAUAAAGAAUUAUCGGUUAUGGAUGGGGAUGCGUCUGAUUAGCUUGUUGGCGGGGUAACGGCCCACCAAGGCAACGAUCAGUAGGGGUUCUGAGAGGAAGGUCCCCCACAUUGGAACUGAGACACGGUCCAAACUCCUACGGGAGGCAGCAGUGAGGAAUAUUGGUCAAUGGACGCAAGUCUGAACCAGCCAAGUAGCGUGCAGGAUGACGGCCCUAUGGGUUGUAAACUGCUUUUAUAUGGGGAUAAAGUGGG
rnacentral:rRNA from 1 species